CAUCUAAUCUGGGGCAGUUUCUCAUUUAAUUAUAACAGACUUACACCUAACUGCUCAGAAUCACCUGUUAUCGCAAGCUCGACUACAUCAUUCUUUCUGGGUUAGAAAGAACUCGUUUUUGAA
rfam:Populus trichocarpa scaffold_16_contig_245, whole genome shotgun sequence.